UACGGAGGGUGCGAGCGUUGUCCGGAAUCACUGGGCGUAAAGGGCGCGUAGGCGGCUCAUGAAGGCUGUGGUGAAAGUCCGGGGCUCAACCUCGGAUCGGCCGUGGCGACUCGUGGGCUGGAGCACUGUAGAGGCGGGUGGAAUUCCGGGUGUAGCGGUGGAAUGCGUAGAGAUCCGGAAGAACACCAGUGACGAAGGCGGCCCGCUGGGCAGUGGCUGACGCUGAAGCGCGACAGCGUGGGGAGCAAACAGG
rnacentral:rRNA from 1 species